rnacentral:lncRNA from 1 species
AUUUGUAGCAGAAGAGUGGUGCUACUUUCAAAACAUGGUGAAGAGAGGGCAUCUAAGAGUAACUGGUAAGAACUACUCCAAGAGAGACCGUGGAAUUUUUCUUCAUCAAUACAAUUCAUUUUGUUGCUUUUGUUAUUGACCAAGAUACAGUGAUCCUAAGGGAGACACCAGAAAACUUCAUGGAACUGGGAAGAGAACAGAUGCAAAUAGGAUGUUCCAUGGAGACUAGAUGAAGUCAGAGCCGAAGUUGUGUUAAGU